UACGUAGGGUGCAAGCGUUUGUCCGGAAUUAUUGGGCGUAAAGAGCUCGUAGGCGGUCUGUCGCGUCUGCUGUGAAAAUCCAGGGCUCAACCCUGGACCUGCAGUGGGUACGGGCAGACUAGAGUGCGGUAGGGGAGAUCGGAAUUCCUGGUGUAGCGGUGAAAUGCGCAGAUAUCAGGAGGAACACCGGUGGCGAAGGCGGAUCUCUGGGCAGUAACUGACGCUGGAGGAGCGAAAGCGUGGGGAGCGAACAGG
rnacentral:rRNA from 1 species